GAUGAACGCUGGCGGCGUGCCUAAUACAUGCAAGUCGAGCGAACGGACGAGAAGCUUGCUUCUCUGAUGUUAGCGGCGGACGGGUGAGUAACACGUGGAUAACCUACCUAUAAGACUGGGAUAACUUCGGGAAACCGGAGCUAAUACCGGAUGAUAUUUUGAACCGCAUGGUUCAAAAGUGAAAGACGGUCUUGCUGUCACUUAUAGAUGGAUCCGCGCUGCAUUAGCUAGUUGGUAAGGUAACGGCUUACCAAGGCAACGAUGCAUAGCCGACCUGAGAGGGGGAUCGGGCACACUGGAACUGAGACACGGUCCAGACUCCUACGGGAGGCAGCAGUAGGGAAUCUUCCGCAAUGGGCGAAAGCCUGACGGAGCAACGCCGCGUGAGUGAUGAAGGUCUUCGGAUCGUAAAACUCUGUUAUUAGGGAAGAACAUAUGUGUAAGUAACUGUGCACAUCUUGACGGUACCUAAUCAGAAAGCCACGGCUAACUACGUG
rnacentral:rRNA from 1 species